GAAAGGCCAGUCCUGAAUACAAGACCCCAAUAAAAAGGAGGAGGGUCGCUGAGCAGGCUGGUACUUCCACCAGCCCAGAUGCACAUGUGGUCAAAGGUGUGAAGCGUAAAGCCCAGCAAGAUGGACAGGACACAAGCAAGCAAGGAAAGAGCUCUAAACUUCUUCACCAUAUGAGCAGUGACAAGGAGCCAGCGUCUUCCUCCUUGGACACUGAUAAAGACUGCAGCUUGAACAUUUCAGAGGGCUGCAGUAAAAACAUAAAGGUGUGCACGAGAAAUGGCGAAAGGAAGGCCGCGGGAGACAGCAAAGAGCCACCUAAGAAAAAGAAAAGGAACGUGGACCAGGACAAAACCACAAAUGGAGUUUGCAGUUGAUGCUGCAAAGUAGCUUGAGGACAAACACAUCUUUCACCGAGACAUCAAGGGCGAGAACAUUCUGAUUGAGACAAGCUGAGAUGUGCCUCUUGUUCGCACCAUCGACUUUGGACUGAGCUGUUUUGUUAAGGAGCGAUCGUAGUUAAAAAAUACAACCGUCUUCUAUGGUACAGCUGUUCACACCCCUCCCGAGUGGUACAGGCGCAAUUACUACAAGUCCAGA
ensembl:lncRNA